rnacentral:tRNA from 1 species
UCCCCGGUGGUCUAGUGGUUAAGGAUCUGGCAUUGUCACUGCUGUGGCUUAGGUUCAACCCCUGGCCCAGGAA